GACGAACGCUGGCGGCGUGCUUAACACAUGCAAGUCGAACGGAAAGGCCCUGCUCUUGCGGGGUGCUCGAUUGGCGAACGGGUGAGUAACACGUGAGUAACCUGCCCUUGACUUUGGGAUAACUUCAGGAAACGGGGGCUAAUACCGGAUAGGAGCUCCUGCUGCAUGGUGGGGGUUGGAAAGUUUCGGCGGUUGGGGAUGGACUCGCUGCUUAUCAGCUUGUUGGUGGGGUAGUGGCUUACCAAGGCUUUGACGGGUAGCCUGCCUGAGAGGGUGAACGGGGACAUUACGACUGAGGUAGGGACCAGUAUGGAACGGGACGCAGCGGUGGAGAAUCUUGCGGAAUGGGCGAAAGCGUGAUGCAGCAACACCGCGUGCGGAAUGACGGGUUUCUAGUUGUAAACCGAUUUCGCCUGAGACAUGGCGUGAGUGACGGUAAUUGAUAAGGAAGCACCGGCUAACUACGUG
rnacentral:rRNA from 1 species